AGGGGGCAAGAAGGGUGCUCCGCCCCGACGGGUACCUGGCCUCCGCCUGGGCUCCGGGAGCAGGGACGUGCGCGGGGUGCAGGAAGGCCAGAGAGGACAGGGGAUAACGCGGGUCGGCAGGCAGAGGGCCCUGGCCUAAGGGAGAGGGUCCACCAGGAAACUUGGAGCGAAGAUUUGUACGCGAGUGAGGCAGACGCGAACAAGUAACAGAGACUGAGCGAGUAAACCAAACCUAGACUGCAGUGUGCCGACAGAACCCAAGGGAGAAAAGAGGACGCACCCCGAGAUGGGCAGACACGAAGCCGGAGUGGGACUCAGGCUCCCGCACGGAAAGAGCGGGACGCGCGGGUGCCCGGACGCCAGCGCUGCUCUGGGUACCCGGAACGCGCGGGGCUCCGGGAGGAGGGUGCGCGGGCCGGAUCCCUGACCGGGGCAGGAGGUCAGUCGGGGACUGCUCGCUCGAGGGGAGCUGGCACCCUCUGGGGCCCCCAGCUCUCGGGUUUGGCAGAGCUGGCGCGGCUGCGGGGGCAGGCUUGGCCGACUGUCUGCCCGGGCUUGUCUGCCAGCAGGGAGGGGGCUGGCAGCUGUAAUGGCGGGGGAGGGCCCUGCGCGGGAGGAGGGACGCCGCCUGGCAGAUCGCGAGCGGGAGCUGCGGAGGCCCAGCCAGAUGUCAGAGCCAGGGGCACCCAGGCUCACAGCAGCAGAUCUGGAUCCAGAAAGUGCUAUUUCAUGGCUCUCCAGAUUCCAUGACAGCCUCUCCCACUCUCCUGCCUGCAAACUGCACUUCUCGCACUGGGAAGGCAACUUGGCAGCUAAUUAGGGGCCAGCUUAGCGGGAGGGGGUUCUUGAAGCAGCAGGUGUCCUCAUUCACGCUUCCUGGUCAAGUCGCCCUGGACUCUUUCUGUCUGUCCCCCUCCAGGGCCUGUCUUCUCAGGUCAAUGGUCACUUCUCUGGCACUUCCUCUUGAAGCCAUUUUUGUGGUGACACUCACAUGGGAAAGUUACCCACGGACAUGCUCCAUAGGUGAGGGACAGAAGAAUCUCCAUCAUGUCCCUUCCCAUACACGUUUUCACAUGUGUCUGUUGUCAGUUUGGGAUGGCUGGUUCCAGCCCACACUUACACAAUUCUGAUUUCCUGAUUGUCCAAUAGGACAAAGAAAGGUCAAGGUUGUUAACAUAUAAUGUCUGAAGCCCAAGGCCCAUGCUGAGAAAAGAAUCUCAUAGAAUCCUCUUUUUAUGCUUGGAAUCUGGGACCACACCACCCACCUCACGAUCUGCCUUAAUAGAGGAUUUGUGGGUGUUUCUGGCAUGGGCUUGAAUUUUAAAAUCCUACUGAUUUGCAUUUUUUACAGCACCCUAGGUGGGAGGUGGUGAGGGGAGGAAGACAGAUCGGAUGCCAGGAGAAUAAAAAAGACAAACAGGAAUCUGCACUGAGCUGAGCUCCAGGCCUUGAUUUGUACCCUCUCCUGCCAAGGACUUGAGCCCCAGUCCCUGAGAGAAGGAAGGGGAGAGGCUGAAGUCACUGAGCUCCCCAUUAGCUUUCAUUUGGCCCUUUGUCUGAGCAGCUUCAGCCUUUGACUCUGUUGGAGAGGAAGCCACAUGCCUGGCCUGGGGCCCAGAAUGACACUCAGAUGGGAGAACUCUGCACCCCCCACCCCUGGUGCUCCACCCCCUCCCCAGUGCCUGUCUGUCCAGAGUGAGACAGAGCCGAGUGACAGGCAGAGCUAUUAGAGUCUUGUUCACUCCCUGACACUUCAGCACAACGCUUAGGUAGCUGAGCCAAAUCUCAGGGCCUCAGUUUUCCCAAUGGGAGUGAAAGAGAAAGUAGAGCUGUUAGCCCAGACUCAGCGCUGGCUCCUCUAAGGACUCUGGAGACUGAAUCCAAAGCAGCUUGGUCGUGGUGAGAUAACAAGGUGUUGGUCUGUUUAUACCCCAAGUCUGCAGUAAGGUGGGAAAGGCAUACAGCCAGUCUGUGUCAUGACUUUGUGGGGGUAGAGGGUGUGUGUGUGUGUGUGUGUGUGUGUGUGUGUUCAUCCCAGGCAGAAUCUUCCCUGCCACCCAAGAGGACUGUAUGUUGCCUGGCUUUGCCCUACAAUAUACAUUCAUAGUACAUGCCCAGAA